ACAAUGUACAGGGAUCUAAAAAAUACUAUCCACAAGCAGAGGAUAAACUGUGGGAGUAAAAACACCGAUGAAAAGCAACUGCUUGAUUACAGGGGUUGAGGGGAUAUGACUGAGGAGAGACUCUAAAUGAACACUCUAAUGCAAAUGCCAACAACAGGGAAAUGGGUUCAAAUCAAGAACACAUGUGAUAACCAGUGGAAUCGUGCGUCGGCUAUGGGAGAGGGAAAGGUGGUGGGAGUGGGGGGGGGGGGCCGGGAAGAAAAAAAAAUGAUCUUUGUUUCCAGUGAAUAAUGUUUGGAAAUGACCAAAUAAAAUAAUGUUUAAAAUUAAAAAAAAAAGAUAAACCAUCUCUAAUUAGAGGAGGUAUGAUGUAUAUAUCAGUUCUGACUCUAUAAUUUUAGGAAGGACAGUGACCAACUGUCGAGAGAGCUUUCAGCAUAACAGAGAUAUGACAGUCAAUUUUGACAGCUAAGAUUGUUUUCUCUACAUAUAGCUUCAAAUUUACUUCAGUUGGGGAGAGGGAAACCUAAGAACACAAGACACCACAAAGGAAGAAACCCUGAAGUACACUUAGUCAGGACACCGAGAACUUAGAUCGGGGAUCUCUUGGGUCUCUGCCUUCUAGACACCUUGCAACCAUUUCUGAGAUGUGGAGUGACAGGGUAGAGCUGGACAAAGGUGAAAUCUCAUCUGGAGUACAAUUGCUGGAAAGAUGUGGACAGAGACUGAGUCUGACUCUUCCUGCUGGGGUGUUCCCUGGAGGUGACCUGGGCUUCCAGAUGGUACCGCCCCAGUGUCCUCAACUUAGCCUCUGCUCUCUACAACUUCAGCACAUCUGGAUGAGAACUUAUUAUUUUUAGAAUACGCAGAAAUGUGUAUUUACCAGACUGACCCUCAACCCAAGAUGGACUUUUAAAAAAAAGAAAAAGAAAAACUUCCUAACAAAGUGGCAUGGGAAAUCUCAGGAAGUGGUAGGCUUCUCCACUCAAAAUCUUUAAGUUUGUUGGAUGACUUUAUUAAAUAAAUUGUAAAAUUAAUGAAUUAGAUGGUCUCUC
rnacentral:lncRNA from 1 species